AGAGUUUGAUCCUGGCUCAGGACGAACGCUGGCGGCGUGCCUAACACAUGCAAGUCGAGCGAUGAAGCCCUUCGGGGUGGAUUAGCGGCGGACGGGUGAGUAACACGUGGGUAACCUGCCUCAAAGAGGGGGAUAGCCUCCCGAAAGGGAGAUUAAUACCGCAUAACAUUGGUUUUUCGCAUGAAGAACCAAUUAAAGGAGCAAUCCGCUUUGAGAUGGACCCGCGGCGCAUUAGCUAGUUGGUGAGGUAAAGGCUCACCAAGGCGACGAUGCGUAGCCGACCUGAGAGGGUGAUCGGCCACAUUGGAACUGAGACACGGUCCAGACUCCUACGGGAGGCAGCAGUGGGGAAUAUUGCACAAUGGGCGAAAGCCUGAUGCAGCAACGCCGCGUGAGUGAUGAAGGCCUUCGGGUUGUAAAGCUCUGUCUUUUGGGACGAUAAUGACGGUACCCAAGGAGGAAGCCACGGCUAACUACGUGCCAGCAGCCGCGGUAAUACGUAGGUGGCGAGCGUUGUCCGGAUUUACUGGGCGUAAAGGAUGCGUAGGCGGAUGUUUAAGUGAGAUGUGAAAUACCCGAGCUUAACUUGGGUGCUGCAUUUCAAACUGGAUAUCUAGAGUGCGGGAGAGGAGAAUGGAAUUCCUAGUGUAGCGGUGAAAUGCGUAGAGAUUAGGAAGAACACCAGUGGCGAAGGCGAUUCUCUGGACCGUAACUGACGCUGAGGCAUGAAAGCGUGGGUAGCAAACAGGAUUAGAUACCCUGGUAGUCCACGCCGUAAACGAUGAGUACUAGGUGUAGGA
rnacentral:rRNA from 1 species